GGCUUCAACAUCCCCGCAGGCUGGGCGUGAUUGAAGGUUCUGUAGAGACGUAACUUGUUACGUCUUUCUGGCCCGACGAGAGCGCAGUGAGUCUGCUGGAGCC
rnacentral:sRNA from 12 species